UUAGUAACCAUAGAGGUACUGAAGGAAUACCUGAGAGGCAGUUGCAGUUACGACAACACUGUGACAUCAUAGAAGGAGCUAGGGCUCUCCAGGUUACAUGAAAUUUUUCAGAGAGGGCUUAUGGAUGAUGUCACUGAGAACUGCCAUGGCCUCCCUCUAAACAGCUUUCCUUCCAGUGACCAGUUUCAAGUGUGCCUUUUCCAGGUUAAAUGGAUGUUUGUAUGUGACUGAAAAUACAUGGAAGAUACCUGAAUCCCAACACUGACCCAAUACUCUCUAUUGCUGUCUUAUCCCAUAAAAAUCUUUCUGAGAGUGGUUUAAGCUGUGUUGGAAGAUAUGCCAAUGAUUCUUUAACCAAUAAAACCAAUAAAAACAGCUGUCUAUUUU